rnacentral:lncRNA from 1 species
CAGUUUUUCCACAGGGGAGGCCUUGUUUCCUGGAGACCCUUCUGAAGUUUGAAUACUGGAGUGAACUCUCUUUCCAUGCUGGUUCUGGGCCCUCUCCACACCUGGUGCCGCCCUCCCUGGAAUCCCAGCCCCAUUGCUCCCCAGGGCACAGAUAACGGGAAUUUCAGAGUUAGUAGAAGGAAUUUUUUGCUGCAUCUGUGAUCGAGGCAUUUUAGAUAUACAUGUUGGUAGCCCUAAGCAUGAGGUUUAAUCUAUUUCUUAUAGAGGAAGGGUUCACAAUGGACCAAACUCUAAGGGUAACCCAAGGAGAUGGCAUAACAGGACUUCUGACCCAGACCAGCCAGUUUUGUUCUCAUAGUGACCUUCUGCUCACUCAUGAGCAAAACUCCCUUAGUUGAUAGGGAAUCCCUGAUAUGUCAGAGCCAGUAUGGGAAUAGGG